rnacentral:lncRNA from 1 species
CGAGAUGAAUAGUGAAUAUAAAUACAAGCAUAGAAGCAUAGAAGCAUAUGACACAAGCAUAUGACACAUUCAGAAUAGAAUCCUCAAUAGUUCAGAAUGAAAGUCCAUAUAUAUACAAAUAGUCCAUAUGAUACAAAGUUCGCAAUCAGAAUCGUCACUGCCUCCUAGUCUUACCCUUACCCUUGUGACCAAGGGCGUCGGUGCCUGGAGUGUAAGGAGAACGUGGACGACGUAGUCUAGUGCCCCCUACAACCUGUGUAGGCUGAGUCAAGGGAGCCUCCUGGAGCUGAGACGGGCCAAUCUCCUCGGCCCUCUGCUCAUCGUCGUCGUCAUCGUCGUCGUCAUCGACUUCCUCGGAUGCAAUUGAUUUCGAACCUGAGGGGCCUUGGCUGGACGUACCGACGCCUCCUUCGCGCAGGGAUGGAACGUGCACGUCUCGCGUCGUGGCAGUC